AUUGAACGCUGGCGGCAGGCCUAACACAUGCAAGUCGAGCGCGCGGCGGACGGGUGAGUAAUGUAUGGGGACUGCCCGAUAGAGGGGGAUAACUACUGGCAACUGUUGCUAAUACCGCAUACUAUCGGAUAACCCAUAUGGGAUUAGCUAGUAGGUGGGGUAAAGGCUCACCUAGGCGACGAUCUCGAGCUGGUCUCAGAGGAGGAUCAGCCACACUGGGACUGAGACACGGCCCAGACUACUACGGAGGCAGCAGUGGGGAAUAUUGCACAAUGGGCGAAAGCCUGAUGCAGCCAUGCCGCGUGUAUGAAGAAGGCCUUAGGGUUGUAAAGUACUUUCAGCGGGGAGGCGUUACCAGCAGAAGAAGCACCGGCUAACUCCGUGCCAGCAGCCGCGGUAAUAC
rnacentral:rRNA from 1 species